GGCGUCAUAGCUCAGCUGGGAGAGCAACAGACUGAAGUCGAGUGAUCACAAAAUUGUUCAUCUGGAGGUCCCGUGUUCAAUCCACGGUGAUGCCA